rnacentral:rRNA from 1 species
UAGAGAGCUUGCUCUCUGAUGGCGAGUGGCGAACGGGUGAGUAACAUAUCGGAACGUGCCUAGGUAAUCGGGGGAAUAACUAGUCGAAAGAUUAGCUAAUACCGCAUACGACCUACGGGUGAAAGCAGGGGGAUCUUUCGGACCUUGCGUUAUUAGAGCGGCCGAUAUCUGAUUAGGUAGUUGGUAGGGUAAAGGCCUACCAAGCCGACGAUCAGUAGCUGGUCUGAGAGGACGAUCAGCCCACACUGGAACUGAGACACGGUCCAGACUCC